rnacentral:rRNA from 1 species
GGAGGAUGCGAGCGUUAUCCGGAUUUAUUGGGUUUAAAGGGAGCGUAGACGGGUCGUUAAGUCAGCUGUGAAAGUUUGAGGCUUAACCUUAAAAUUGCAGUUGAUACUGGCGUCCUUGAGUACGGUUGAGGCAGACGGAAUUCGUGGUGUAGCGGUGAAAUGCUUAGAUAUCACGAAGAACCCCGAUUGCGAAGGCAGCUCACUGGAGUGUAACUGACGCUGAUGCUCGAAAGUGUGGGUAUCAAACAGGAUUAGAUACCCUGGUAGUCCACACAGUAAACGAUGAAUACUCGCUGUUUGCGAUAUACAGUAAGCGGCCAAGCGAAAGCAUUAAGUAUUCCACCUGGGGAGU